rnacentral:lncRNA from 1 species
AAGGAAUAGAUCUGAGCAGUUGUAUCUGGAGACUAUUUCUUUUAACGCUUUGCUUAAAUAAAAUCUCUUGACUUUCCAGUUCAAUCCAUUAUCUCCUCUGUACUCUCUGGAUGUGCUUGCUGAUGCUUCCCACCGAAGAUGCUCACCAGCACACUGCACUGCCAGGCAAGCAAAUGUACACCUGGGACCACCAUGUUCGAGGGACAUCAAAAGGAAACGAAAGCCAGCUGCAGCCUCCAUGUCCAGCCCAAUAUCAGCAACUUUAUCUGUCCACAUGGAUGCAGCAGAGUCAGAGCUACCAGCAACACCAUCCCUGAGAUCCCAGAACUCUGAGUGGACAGGGAAAACACCAGCAGCCGAGAAAGCCACUAUUGCUGCCUCCAGUAACUUUUUUAAAAUGCCACCAGAGAAGAGCCCUGGAUUCAGCCAAAAAGAAGCAUUGCAACUGUAAAAGCUUGCUGGAUUUUGGAAGUGUUUGACUCUGGUGUGUGUCUUUACCAAACAUCUUGUUUGGCAGUAGUGAUAUCUUCAGUAUUGCUGCGUGAUGCAUGCCAUCAUCCAGACUGAUCUGU